GGCGGACGGGUGAGUAAUGCUUAGGAAUCUGCCUAUUAGUGGGGGACAACAUUCCGAAAGGAAUGCUAAUACCGCAUACGUCCUACGGGAGAAAGCAGGGGAUCUUCGGACCUUGCGCUAAUAGAUGAGCCUAAGUCGGAUUAGCUAGUUGGUGGGGUAAAGGCCUACCAAGGCGACGAUCUGUAGCGGGUCUGAGAGGAUGAUCCGCCACACUGGGACUGAGACACGGCCCAGACUCAUACGGGAGGCAGCAGUGGGGAAUAUUGGACAAUGGGGGGAACCCUGAUCCAGCCAUGCCGCGUGUGUGAAGAAGGCCUUAUGGUUGUAAAGCACUUUAAGCGAGGAGGAGGCUACUGAGACUAAUACUCUUGGAUAGUGGACGUUACUCGCAGAAUAAGCACCGGCUAACUCUGUGCCAGCAGCCGCGGUAAUACAGAGGGUGCGAGCGUUAAUCGGAUUUACUGGGCGUAAAGCGUGCGUAGGCGGCUUUUUAAGUCGGAUGUGAAAUCCCCGAGCUUAACUUGGGAAUUGCAUUCGAUACUGGGAAGCUAGAGUAUGGGAGAGGAUGGUAGAAUUCCAGGUGUAGCGGUGAAAUGCGUAGAGAUCUGGAGGAAUACCGAUGGCGAAGGCAGCCAUCUGGCCUAAUACUGACGCUGAGGUACGAAAGCAUGGGGAGCAAACAGGAUUAGAUACCCUGGUAGUCCAUGCCGUAAACGAUGUCUACUAGCCGUUGGGGCCUUUGAGGCUUUAGUGGCGCAGCUAACGCGAUAAGUAGACCGCCUGGGGAGUACGGUCGCAAGACUAAAACUCAAAUGAAUUGACGGGGGCCCGCACAAGCGGUGGAGCAUGUGGUUUAAUUCGAUGCAACGCGAAGAACCUUACCUGGCCUUGACAUACUAGAAACUUUCCAGAGAUGGAUUGGUGCCUUCGGGAAUCUAGAUACAGGUGCUGCAUGGCUGUCGUCAGCUCGUGUCGUGAGAUGUUGGGUUAAGUCCCGCAACGAGCGCAACCCUUUUCCUUACUUGCCAGCAUUUCGGAUGGGAACUUUAAGGAUACUGCCAGUGACAAACUGGAGGAAGGCGGGGACGACGUCAAGUCAUCAUGGCCCUUACGGCCAGGGCUACACACGUGCUACAAUGGUCGGUACAAAGGGUUGCUACACAGCGAUGUGAUGCUAAUCUCAAAAAGCCGAUCGUAGUCCGGAUUGGAGUCUGCAACUCGACUCCAUGAAGUCGGAAUCGCUAGUAAUC
rnacentral:rRNA from 1 species